ACUGGAAGCAUGUUUAUGUAAUUUGAUACUUUCCCCACACACCCUCAGGCGCUAAAUUUUUGAUGAGGCACGUGACCAGCCGCAGCCAGGGUCUUUCCCAAAGAAAGAUCCUGGGUACGAGGUUGUGUUAUGAACAGAGUCAUCCUCGUUCCCAGGGCUUCUCGGCUGCCUGCGUUGCCGUAAGCCCUGGGACAAGCCGAAGCAGAAGUGAUUUGAUUGGUCGUUGGAAAUAGAGUGAAAUAUGAAAAGUUUAUUCGUCAAGUGGAUGUUUAUAUUCGGCAAUAUGGCUGCCUUCAAGGAGUGCGCGUUCGAAAUACGAAGAAAUACAAACGUAAACUGCUUGUUUUCUAUGGAUUAAUGGAGAUAAUUUGCAAACAGAAAGAAAGAAAAUAACAGAAUGGACAAUUAUAAAGUAGAAGUAAGCAACAAUAUCGAAGAAACGUCAAUUAUGAAGCCAUUAAAAAGUUUCUUCAUUUUAACAUUUUCUUGUUAUAAAGUUGUCUAUUAUUAAAACAUUGUGCUCAAGUAUAAUUGUAAAAUUUUAAGCACACUGUAAAUAUAAAAUGUUUAAAAAUAUAUAGUUACGAUAGUAAAGUUUUAAUGGUGUAAUGUAUUGUGUUUUAUUAAUUAUUAUGCUUUUGGUAUUGGUCACUUGGCCUAUUUAAUACCCGCCUAUAUUAAAAUGGCCCUAUGUUAAAAUGGCCAAUUGGAAUUUAUAAAUAUAGCAUAUGGAAUAUUAUGGAUGUAUUUUACUAUUUCUGAAUUUUCCUCAGUUGUAGUAUUAGUGAGUAAUUUUAAUAGCUUUUAAUUAAAUACAGUGAAUAAGCUUAUAAGCAUAUUCAAUUUCACCAGUCAUUUGAAUCCUUGCACCUUUGGCAUACCAGAGGAGAAUGCAAGGACAAUCGCCUCUUAAUUCACUGGUUUAUCAUUUCUUGGCAAACAGGGAAGACACUUACUUUCAGUGUCCAAGUUGGGAAUGAGUGAGGUCAUGGGGGGGGGGUCACUUAGUCUUUUAUAUAAAUGUUGAAAUAAAGCAGUUGGCUAUAUAAAUGCUGAAAUAAAGCAUUUGGCUAGGAAAGGCGUAGUCUUUUAUAUAAAUGCUGAAAUAAAGCAGUCGGCUAGGAAAGGCUUUUACAGAACAGUAAAGGAAUGGUUUGGGAAAUUUCAUGUAAAAAUUCUAAUUGAAUACCUGAGGAUGAUAGGACCGAAGAAAUUUACCUUGCCAUUUUGUCCUGGCUGCAGGGGACUUCACUGAAUUUCACACACCAAAUUAAGUGAAUGCCCCUGGUAUGCCCGAGGUGGGGGUCUCGAAUUCUUGUGUCAUAUUGGAUGAGAUCAUGAAUUUACACUGUUUCCUGUCAACAGUUCAGAAUAGAAUGCUUAUUCUGUUGACUUAUUGCAAAUCUUGUAAGAAUUGAAAUUAUAAAAUAAACUAUUAUUAUUGACAAAACUGAAAAUUUGUAUAUGUAUAUGCAGGCUUCUAGCCAGGAGACACCCUACCAUGUCUGUAUAAAAAUUGAUUUUAAACCAUUACAAAAAUGACAUAAAAGUUG